rnacentral:rRNA from 1 species
GACGAAGGAUGCAAGCGUUAUCCGGAUUCAUUGGGUUUAAAGGGAGCGUAGGCGGACUUGUAAGUCAGUGGUGAAAUCUGUGGGCUUAACCCACAAACUGCCAUUGAUACUGCAGGUCUAGAGUACAGUUGCCGUUGGCGGAAUAUGACAUGUAGUGGUGAAAUACUUAGAUAUGUCAUUAGAACACCGAUUGCGAAGGCAGCUAACGAAGCUGUAACUGACGCUGAGGCUCGAAAGUGCGGGGAUCAAACAGG